rnacentral:rRNA from 1 species
AUUGAACGCUGGCGGCAGGCUUAACACAUGCAAGUCGAGCGGGGAAGAGUAGCUUGCUACUUAACCUAGCGGCGGACGGGUGAGUAAUGCUUAGGAAUCUGCCUAUUAGUGGGGGACAACAUCUCGAAAGGGAUGCUAAUACCGCAUACGUCCUACGGGAGAAAGCAGGGGACCUUCGGGCCUUGCGCUAAUAGAUGAGCCUAAGUCGGAUUAGCUAGUUGGUGGGGUAAAGGCCUACCAAGGCGACGAUCUGUAGCGGGUCUGAGAGGAUGAUCCGCCACACUGGGACUGAGACACGGCCCAGACUCCUACGGGAGGCAGCAGUGGGGAAUAUUGGACAAUGGGGGGAACCCUGAUCCAGCCAUGCCGCGUGUGUGAAGAAGGCCUUUUGGUUGUAAAGCACUUUAAGCGAGGAGGAGGCUACCGAGAUUAAUACUCUUGGAUAGUGGACGUUACUCGCAGAAUAAGCACCGGCUAACUCUGUGC